AGAGGAUGUGGCUGCGGCCGAUUAGGUAGACGGUGGGGUAACGGCCCACCGUGCCGAUAAUCGGUACGGGUUGUGAGAGCAAGAGCCCGGAGACGGUAUCUGAGACAAGAUACCGGGCCCUACGGGGCGCAGCAGGCGCGAAACCUUUACACUGCACGCGAGUGCGAUAAGGGGACUCCAAGUGCGAGGGCAUAUAGUCCUCGCUUUUCUCGACCGUAAGAAGGUCGAGGAACAAGUGCUGGGCAAGACCGGUGCCAGCCGCCGCGGUAAUACCGGCAGCACGAGUGAUGACCGCUAUUAUUGGGCCUAAAGCGUCCGUAGCUGGCCAUGCAAGUCCAUCGGGAAAUCCGCGCGCUUAACGCGCGGGCGUCCGGUGGAAACUGCAUGGCUUGGGACCGGAAGACCUGAGGGGUACGUCUGGGGUAGGAGUGAAAUCCCGUAAUCCUGGACGGACCACCGGUGGCGAAAGCGCCUCAGGAAGACGGAUCCGACGGUGAGGGACGAAAGCUCGGGUCACGAACCGGAUUAGAUACCCGGGUAGUCCGAGCUGUAAACGAUGUCUGCUAGGUGUGCCACAGGCUACGAGCCUGUGGUGUGCCGUAGGGAAGCCGUGAAGCAGACCGCCUGGGAAGUACGUCCGCAAGGAUGAAACUUAAAGGAAUUGGCGGGGGAGCACUACAACCGGAGGAGCCUGCGGUUUAAUUGGACUCAACGCCGGACAUCUCACCAGCAUCGACAGUAGCAAUGAAGGUCAGUGUGAUGAGCUUACUGGAGCUACUGAGAGGAGGUGCAUGGCCGCCGUCAGCUCGUACCGUGAGGCGUCCUGUUAAGUCAGGCAACGAGCGAGACCCGCACUCCUAAUUGCCAGCAGUACCCUUGUGGUAGCUGGGUACAUUAGGAGGACUGCCAGUGCCAAACUGGAGGAAGGAACGGGCAACGGUAGGUCAGUAUGCCCCGAAUGUGCUGGGCGACACGCGGGCUACAAUGGCCGAGACAGUGGGAUGCAACCCCGAGAGGGGACGCUAAUCUCCGAAACUCGGUCGUAGUUCGGAUUGCAGGCUGAAACUCGCCUGCAUGAAGCUGGAUUCGGUAGUAAUCGCGCCUCA
rnacentral:rRNA from 1 species